CAGACUAUACUGCAAGUCGAGCGGACAGAUGGGAGCUUGCUCCCUGAUGUUAGCGGCGGACGGGUGAGUAACACGUGGGUAACCUGCCUGUAAGACUGGGAUAACUCCGGGAAACCGGGGCUAAUACCGGAUGGUUGUCUGAACCGCAUGGUUCAGACAUAAAAGGUGGCUUCGGCUACCACUUACAGAUGGACCCGCGGCGCAUUAGCUAGUUGGUGAGGUAACGGCUCACCAAGGCGACGAUGCGUAGCCGACCUGAGAGGGUGAUCGGCCACACUGGGACUGAGACACGGCCCAGACUCCUACGGGAGGCAGCAGUAGGGAAUCUUCCGCAAUGGACGAAAGUCUGACGGAGCAACGCCGCGUGAGUGAUGAAGGUUUUCGGAUCGUAAAGCUCUGUUGUUAGGGAAGAACAAGUGCCGUUCAAAUAGGGCGGCACCUUGACGGUACCUAACCAGAAAGCCACGGCUAACUACGUGCCAGCAGCCGCGGUAAUACGUAGGUGGCAAGCGUUGUCCGGAAUUAUUGGGCGUAAAGGGCUCGCAGGCGGUUUCUUAAGUCUGAUGUGAAAGCCCCCGGCUCAACCGGGGAGGGUCAUUGGAAACUGGGGAACUUGAGUGCAGAAGAGGAGAGUGGAAUUCCACGUGUAGCGGUGAAAUGCGUAGAGAUGUGGAGGAACACCAGUGGCGAAGGCGACUCU
rnacentral:rRNA from 1 species